UCAAGUGACUAAGUGCAUGCGGCGGAUGCCUUGGCGAUCACAGGCGAAGAAAGACGCGGCAGCCUGCGAAAAGCUGCGGGGAGCUGGCAAACGAGCAUUGAUCCGCAGAUAUCUGAAUGGGGGAACCCACACCGCAAGGUGUAUCCGUAGCUGAAUACAUAGGUUACGGAGGCGAACGAGGAGAACUGAAACAUCUAAGUAUCCUCAGGAAAAGAAAUCAACCGAGAUUCCGGCAGUAGCGGCGAGCGAACCCGGAGGAGCCUAGCUUUUGAUAGUACGAACUUUAGCCGAAAGGUCCUGGAAAGGCCUGCUAUAGUGGGUGAUAGCCCCGUAGGCGAAAGAGUUCGUAUGGUACUAAGGAAGCGAGAAGUAGAGCGGGACACGUGGAAUCCUGUUCGAAGACGGGGGGACCAUCCUCCAAGGCUAAAUACUCGUGAUCGACCGAUAGUGAACCAGUACCGUGAGGGAAAGGCGAAAAGAACCCCGGGAGGGGAGUGAAAUAGAACCUGAAACCGCAUGCAUACAAACAGUAGGAGCCUUUACGGAGGUGACUGCGUACCUUUUGCAUAAUGGGUCAGCGACUUACAUUCUGUGGCGAGCUUAACCGAAUAGGGGAGGCGCAGCGAAAGCGAGUUCGAAAUGAGCGUCCAGUCGCAGGGUGUAGACCCGAAACCAGAUGAGCUAUCCAUGGCCAGGUUGAAGGUGUGGUAACACACACUGGAGGACCGAACCGACUAGUGUUGCAAAAUUAGCGGAUGAGCUGUGGAUAGGGGUGAAAGGCCAAACAAAUCUGGAGAUAGCUGGUUCUCCCCGAAAACUAUUGAGGUAGUGCCUCGUGUGUCGCUCCAGGGGGUAGAGCACUGUUUUGGCUAGGGGGACAUGGAGUCUUACCAAACCAAGGCAAACUCCGAAUACCUGGAAGCGUAAGCACGGGAGACAGAGCACCGGGUGCUAACGUCCGGACUCAAAAGGGAAACAACCCAGACCGCCGGCUAAGGUCCCAAAUAACAGCUAAGUGGAAAACGAAGUGGAAAGGCCGUGACAACCAGGAAGUUGGCUUAGAAGCAGCCAUCCUUCAAAGAAAGCGUAAUAGCUCACUGGUCGAGUCCUUCUGCGCGGAAGAUGUAACGGGGCUAAGCUGUUAACCGAAGCCGCGGAUGCACUGGUAAUCCAGUGCGUGGUAGGGGAGCGUUCUGUAAGUCUGCGAAGGCGGUUCGAGAGGACUGCUGGAGAUAUCAGAAGUGCGAAUGCUGACAUGAGUAACGUUAAAGCAGGUGAAAAGCCUGCUCGCCGUAAGCCCAAGGAUUCCUGCUCUACGUUCAUCGGAGCAGGGUGAGUCGGCUCCUAAGGUCAGGCCGAAAGGCGUAGCCGAUGGGAAUCAGGUUAAUAUUCCUGAACCUGCGUCAGAUGCGAUGGGGGGACGGAGCAUGAAAGAUCAUCCGGGUGUUGGAAGUCCCGGUUGUUUAGCGUAGGAGGUCUGCAGGCAAAUCCGCAGACGAUUCUCCAAGGCAAAGACACGUGCCGCCACGGCGGCGAAGUGAUCGGAAGUGCUUCCAAGAAAAGCCUCUAAGCCCCAGUCUGACGCGGACCGUACCGCAAACCGACACUGGUGGGCGAGCUGAAUAUGCUCAGGCGCUUGAGAGAACUCGGGAGAAGGAACUCGGCAAAUUGACACCGUAACUUCGGAAGAAGGUGUGCCGUAGUAGCGUGAGAGGAGAGACUCCUCGAGCGUGAAUCGGUCUCAGAGAAUAGGUGGCUGCGACUGUUUAUUAAAAACACAGCACUCUGCAAAGUCGAAAGACGACGUAUAGGGUGUGAUGCCUGCCCGGUGCUGGAAGAUUAAUUGAUGGGGUGAGAGCCCUUGAUCGAAGUCCCAGUAAACGGCGGCCGUAACUAUAACGGUCCUAAGGUAGCGAAAUUCCUUGUCGGGUAAGUUCCGACCUGCACGA
rnacentral:rRNA from 1 species